GAACUGAAACAUCUAAGUACCCCGAGGAAAAGAAAUCAACCGAGAUUCCCCCAGUAGCGGCGAGCGAACGGGGAGGAGCCCAGAGCCUGAAUCAGUGUGUGUGUUAGUGGAAGCGUCUGGAAAGGCGCGCGAUACAGGGUGACAGCCCCGUACACAAAAAUGCACAUGCUGUGAGCUCGAUGAGUAGGGCGGGACACGUGGUAUCCUGUCUGAAUAUGGGGGGACCAUCCUCCAAGGCUAAAUACUCCUGACUGACCGAUAGUGAACCAGUACCGUGAGGGAAAGGCGAAAAGAACCCCGGCGAGGGGAGUGAAAAAGAACCUGAAACCGUGUACGUACAAGCAGUGGGAGCACGCUUAGGCGUGUGACUGCGUACCUUUUGUAUAAUGGGUCAGCGACUUAUAUUCUGUAGCAAGGUUAACCGAAUAGGGGAGCCGAAGGGAAACCGAGUCUUAACUGGGCGUUAAGUUGCAGGGUAUAGACCCGAAACCCGGUGAUCUAGCCAUGGGCAGGUUGAAGGUUGGGUAACACUAACUGGAGGACCGAACCGACUAAUGUUGAAAAAUUAGCGGAUGACUUGUGGCUGGGGGUGAAAGGCCAAUCAAACCGGGAGAUAGCUGGUUCUCCCCGAAAGCUAUUUAGGUAGCGCCUCGUGAAUUCAUCUCCGGGGGUAGAGCACUGUUUCGGCAAGGGGGUCAUCCCGACUUACCAACCCGAUGCAAACUGCGAAUACCGGAGAAUGUUAUCACGGGAGACACACGGCGGGUGCUAACGUCCGUCGUGAAGAGGGAAACAACCCAGACCGCCAGCUAAGGUCCCAAAGUCAUGGUUAAGUGGGAAACGAUGUGGGAAGGCCCAGACAGCCAGGAUGUUGGCUUAGAAGCAGCCAUCAUUUAAAGAAAGCGUAAUAGCUCACUGGUCGAGUCGGCCUGCGCGGAAGAUGUAACGGGGCUAAACCAUGCACCGAAGCUGCGGCAGCGACGCUUAUGCGUUGUUGGGUAGGGGAGCGUUCUGUAAGCCUGUGAAGGUGUGCUGUGAGGCAUGCUGGAGGUAUCAGAAGUGCGAAUGCUGACAUAAGUAACGAUAAAGCGGGUGAAAAGCCCGCUCGCCGGAAGACCAAGGGUUCCUGUCCAACGUUAAUCGGGGCAGGGUGAGUCGACCCCUAAGGCGAGGCCGAAAGGCGUAGUCGAUGGGAAACAGGUUAAUAUUCCUGUACUUGGUGUUACUGCGAAGGGGGGACGGAGAAGGCUAUGUUGGCCGGGCGACGGUUGUCCCGGUUUAAGCGUGUAGGCUGGUUUUCCAGGCAAAUCCGGAAAAUCAAGGCUGAGGCGUGAUGACGAGGCACUACGGUGCUGAAGCAACAAAUGCCCUGCUUCCAGGAAAAGCCUCUAAGCAUCAGGUAACAUCAAAUCGUACCCCAAACCGACACAGGUGGUCAGGUAGAGAAUACCAAGGCGCUUGAGAGAACUCGGGUGAAGGAACUAGGCAAAAUGGUGCCGUAACUUCGGGAGAAGGCACGCUGAUAUGUAGGUGAAGUCCCUCGCGGAUGGAGCUGAAAUCAGUCGAAGAUACCAGCUGGCUGCAACUGUUUAUUAAAAACACAGCACUGUGCAAACACGAAAGUGGACGUAUACGGUGUGACGCCUGCCCGGUGC
rnacentral:rRNA from 1 species